GAACGAGUUUCUCUAGUAAGAACAUGGGCAACUAUGUUCACAGAUCUCCUAACAAACUGAAUAUAAACACAAGAAUCUCUUAUGCAAGAGUUAGACAAUUUGCUAUAACAACUCCAUGGGAAGCUGACCAAGAGCAGCCCUGUUGUAAUGCAGAAAUAGCAGAAAGAGAAUCAAAAUUAACAAUAGCAUUUUCCCAACCACGUGAUUUAAUCCAACUCAAAACCUCCCUAAUGCCUAUUGCCUUUGCCACUUUAAGGGAGAAAACGCUCAGAAUCUCCAACCACCUACAGUUAUCCAAAGCCAUCCAAUUAAUGCCAUGGUGUUGAGAUUGAUUAUUACCCCACCAAAACUGUUUACCAUCUUCUCUAGUUUAGAGCACAAAGAGACAGGAAGCAAGAAAACGCCCAUAACAUAGUUGGGCAACGCUUGAGAAAUUGUUUUAAACAAAAUCUCCUUACUUGCCUGUGAUAGGAACUUCCUUUUCCAAGAUUGAAGCUUCUGCCACACCUUGUCUUUAAUGAAACGAAAGAUAUUCAACUUGCUUCGGCCGAUAAGCGGUGGUAGGCCUAAUAUGUACUUAGAUCACAAACAGUAGGCACCUCCAAAAUAGAAGCAACAUUAUCCUGCUGACUAUUAAGUGUGUUAGCACUAAAAUAUAUUUUGACUUUUUUAAAAUUAAUAGACUGACCAUAUGCCUUAUCGUUAGCAGCAAGUAUAUCCUUCGCAACAAGUGCUUUAGUUUCAAUAUCCUUAAAAAAAAGCAGACUACCGUCUGUAAAAAAAAAGGAUGAGAAACAUUCGGU
rnacentral:misc_RNA from 1 species